GGCACCUUGGCCGAGUGGCUAGGCAGAGGUCUGCAAAACCUCGUACAGCGGUUCGAAUCCGCUAGGUGCCUCCA
rnacentral:tRNA from 1 species